rnacentral:rRNA from 1 species
AGUGAACGCUGGCGGUAGGCCUAACACAUGCAAGUCGAACGGCAGCACAGUAAGAGCUUGCUCUUACGGGUGGCGAGUGGCGGACGGGUGAGGAAUACAUCGGAAUCUACUUUUUCGUGGGGGAUAACGUAGGGAAACUUACGCUAAUACCGCAUACGACCUACGGGUGAAAGCAGGGGAUCUUCGGACCUUGCGCGAUUGAAUUAGCCGAUGUCGGAUUAGCUAGUUGGCGGGGUAAAGGCCCACCAAGGCGACGAUCCGUAGCUGGUCUGAGAGGAUGAUCAGCCACACUGGAACUGAGACACGGUCCAGACUCCUACGGGAGGCAGCAGUGGGGAAUAUUGGGCAAUGGGCGCAAGCCUGAUCCAGCCAUACCGCGUGGGUGAAGAAGGCCUUCGGGUUGUAAAGCCCUUUUGUUGGGAAAGAAAAGCAGCAGGUUAAUACCCCGCUGUUCUGACGGUACCCAAAGAAUAAGCACCGGCUAACUUCGUG